CCUGAGCUGAGAGACCACCACCGGUAGAGGAGUCCGAAUCUGAAGAGUCUGAAUCUGAGGAGGCUGGAGGUGCAGGUGGUGCUGAAUUCUUCCGAUUGGUGGUGCGACGGACUGCUGAUGAGGGACCUGCUGCUGCUGCUGCUGAAGACCUGGGUGCUGCUGAUGAAGUGCGCUGCUGCCUGGAAGCUUGUUUCCUCCUCACAAGCAUGUCAAAGGUAACACCAGAGUGUCUCCCCUUACCGAGAUGUUGAAUCCUCAGCAACACCCGGUCGCCCACGUCCAAAUGCUCCCCUUGAACUACAGCUCUUCAUCCUGCAGUCUUCAAAGCAAAGUGACCAUACCCGUCCACAUUUAUCUCCAAGUCGUUGUACCGCCACAACCCAACAACCAACACGACCGGUUGGUCUUGUCGAAGGCCACUGGUGAGAACUGUCGGAAUCGGCUGCUUGUAAUUAACAAACAUAGUAUUUUUCAUUGUCGACAACGUGUUGCGUUACAUGAACAUAAAUACCAUUAUUACAAACAAAUACUGUGAAGUCUAUCAAAACAUGUCGUCUAGAAUGAAUUUUUUGUUAUACAUACUGUAUGGUCCAUUAAAACAAGAAUAAUCCAUCAAACGUAGAAUACUGUAUGGCCAUCACAACAAUGACUUUAAUAUGUGGGCCAUGAUAAUAAUGCAAAAGCACAACAUGUGGUCCCAUGUCAUAUAUUAAAAAAAUAAUGGUAAAGUACUUACCAUCCUCCAAGAACCCUUCCCGUUUUUACCAACGUUCCAUGGUUUUAAAACAUAGUAGUCAUUGGUGUUGCUUGGGCCACCUUGUUCCAUUGUCUACAUUAUAAAUUAAAAGAAUGUUAUGUGUUGUGAAAUGCUAUUAUAACAAAGGUGAAAUAGAUAUACAAUUAUUAAAUGAAAAGUGGGACAUUACAUACAUAGAAAUAAAGUUGGUGUGUUGUGUGGUUGGGGGUGGGGGUUGUCAUUGUCUUAUUUUUAAUUAAAAAGGGGGUCAUUACAUGCAUGUGGUGUAUCGGCAACUGGGAUGUUUGUCGCAAACUGGGAUUCCAUUCCGUCAACGCCACCAUCCCCUUCCCCGAGGGUCUCAUCCUCAUCUUCGUUCACUGCAUUGGAUUGAUCAUUCACAUCACAAACUCAUACAUGCCACAAUAACCAUGUUGUGUAACAAACAAUAAACCCACGUACCGGUUGGUUCGUAAGUGGGACUAUCAAGAUCAUGGGCAGUAUAUCCGGGUAAAUCGAGGCACGUGCUGUUUUUCGGUAAAUUUCAUCCCGCGCAAAUUCCUUUUAUCAAACACCGACAAACAACGGUCAAACCGAGCAAAUCUAAUUCAUCCGGGUGAAAACCCGGAUUCACCGGUUAUCAAACAGACCCUAAUUGGAUCUUGGAUGAGUGGAUCUGUGGAUGAAGAGGUAGGAUUCCUUCAGCUACGAGGCUAAAAAGGCUGAUUAUCUCUUAAAUAUUCAUACUGAUUUUUUAUACAUACAGUAUUGUGAUUAAGUAAAACUUAGGCUGUGUUUGAUAACAAAUUCCCGCUUUGCAAGUUUAUUUAGCAAACCGGGCAAAUAAGCGGCAAAUUUCAAGUUUGCCGGUUCCUGGCAAAUGGUUUAUCCGUAAAAUUAUUUUGCCAUCGUUUGAUAACAAUUUUGUAAAAAGAAGAUAAAUCGGAGUUUGCCAGUUACAUUGGUUUUGAUAAAACUUUCGAUUUUGGCGUAUGUACAUGUAUUAAAAAAACACCCAAAUUAAUGAAACUAAACAAAAAAACUAUAUCAAGCAUGGACAUACGUAAUAGAUAGAUAAUUAUAUACAUUGGUAUAAACAUAUUUAUAGGCUUCUACAAAGUUUGCAUAAUUAUAAAAGUGUUUGAAACUAUUUUGCAAAAAAAAAAAAAAAAGUAUUUGAAACUGUUAUCACCACGGCCCAUAAGUCAGACUAGACAAAAAAAAAACACAGUCAACCUUCCUGCUGAACACCCAACUAGACAACAUAUGGUGAAGCUAGAGUACCACAACCUUCCUCUGGUUCUGGUUCUUCCUCUGGUUCUGGUUCGGCCUGGUCUCUAGCUGGACCUGAUUGGGCUCUCUGAAACCCAUCAAGCCAAGUCCUUGUAGCCGGUGCCGGUAUACGCCCAUAGAAAAGCUUAGGGCAUCACCCAUCGCAGUGCACAAUCUGAAUUCUCAUCCUCCCCAAUUCGUGCGUGCGACAAAAACCCCUACACUCGAACAUGAUAGUGUCUCCUUCCUUGAGAUUCACUGCAUCAAUGAAACGUUUCCACCCAUUGUAGCGAAAGCAUAGGUGAAAAAAUCGAAUUUGCCGUCCGGAUAUUCAUGAAAUAUUCCAUUUUUUGGCUAUUCAGAUCAGUACGGCAUACGACAUAUAAACGAAAUUUAAAACACCUCAUGUCGUUCGGAAUUUAUCGGAUAUUCGCGAAAUAUUCGGCAAAAACCGAAAUUUACAAAAUUUACGAUAUUUUCGAUUAUGAAAUUAACACAUUUAUUUUUUAUUCCCCCCGAACUAGAAUUUUCGAUGAGAUUAUCAAAAAAAGGUCCAAACAGCACUAGACGUUUGGAAACUUUCGCGACGAACUUCAUCACCAAUAUUCGUGGUAAUGGUAGUGACCUGUUCAGAAGUAAAUCAGUUCUACGUUCACGUUCACCUUCCGAUGAUGAUGAUGGAGAUGGUGACCAAAACAUAGAUGUUGGUCAUCAAAGGGGAGGAUCAGAAGCCAGUGAUUCACUAAGAGAGCGCACCCCAGAAGCGAUUCAUUUUACGGGGGAGUCUCAAUUUCUUUUUGCCACCCAAGAUGAAGACCAUGCUGCAUGGCAACAACCAAGAGAAGGAAAACGACCUCGACAGAAAAGACUGCAUCCUAAAACGGAAACAGAAUCAUCUAGAGUAUCUUCCAAGGUUCAUGGAACAUUCCUGACCAGUUUUUUUCACAAGGUUCGUAGAACCUCCCUUAUUCUCAAAGCAACAUCCAACCUACCUAUGUUUACCCUCAUUUUUCUUAUGGUAACAUGGGAACCUCCCAAAGUGAUGAUUCUAGUGUACCAUCCUACCAAACCCAACCAGAUUCCAGUGGUUCUUGGUUUCCUAAUAUAGGGAGUUGGUUGGCCCCAAUGACAAGUGGGUCGGACGUGCAGUCAGCCGAUACAUUAAUGCCGGUUCAACAAUACUCGAGAUUUCUUAUCUUUGAAUCAUUUGCUUCGUAUUGUAUGGAUCAAGAUGCAUAUGAUAUGCAUAUUGACCAAUUCAGAUCGUACGAGCAAACAAUGUCAUGGGAAUAUUACUGUACUGAGUUCGUCCCCACACGUAUGCGACUCGAAGCUCAUCGAUUUAACAUGGGACGUCUAUCAUUCUGGGGUUAGCAUGUCUUUUAUUUUGAUUAUUAAAAUAAAACUAUGGGUUGAGUUGUAAUGAGGUUAUUUGUGUUUAGUUCUUGUAUUAGAAACAUAUAAAAGUUCUAUGAAUAUCCGCCCGAUAUUUACGAUUUUUUCACCUAUGAGUAAAAUUAUCUUGUGUAAUAGUUCCGCCUUAGCUUCCUUGUAUGAUUUGUCGUGUGUUUAAUUUGUAAUGUAUAUUUUUCUUUUAAUUAUAAGUUUAUAUAUUGAAACAGAAGAAAAACACGAAAAGUGCAGAAAACCUCAAAAUUUUUCGAUUUUUUCGCGAAUAUUCGCGAAUAUCCGCGAAAAAUUCCGGUACAUUUGAAUUUAUUAAAACUCCCACAUCCGACAUGGGAGGUCGGAUAUUCGCGGAAUAUAUCGUUUUUUGGGAGGUCGGAUAUCCGCGUUUAAACGACAUUUUCACCUAUGAGCGAAAGUACAAUGAAGCAUGGCGAUCAUGGCUAACAUCAACCCUAAAACUUUGUUCACUGGGCAAAAUAAACACGACGUGCUUGCAUUGUUUGAACAAAUACUUGUUCGCAGCCGGAAUUUUUUGCCAUAUAUAUCAAACAGUUUUGUCAAACAAUUAUUCCAUAUAUAUCAAACAAUUCUGUCAAACAAUCAUUCCAUAUAUAUCAACCAGUUCUGUCAUAUAUCAACAGUAUAUAUAUGAAACAGUUUUGUCAAGCAAUUCUGUCAAACAGUUCUGUCAGAUAUAUCAACAGUAUAUAUAUCCACAUCUGGACCAUUAGAAACUACUACCAGUGUCGACCUCAAUCUAAUAAUUGGAAUCUUAUGUAACAUAUAUAGUACUGAAGUGUCAUUGUUUUGUAUGUGCAUAGAGGCAAUACAAUGCAUCUGUCAUCUUUACUCAACAAUAAUUCAUGUAACAGCCUAUAUAUAUGUGCACAUUUCUUGCCAUAUAUAUUAACAUUACUAGCCAUUACUGUGAGGCCCAACUAACAAUCCAAAGCCCAUUCAGCUGGUGUAAGCAAUUCAGCUGGUGUUUCACACCUAUUUUUGUGAUGUUGAUUAUCAAGCUUGCAUUACCUUUUCAACUUUUCCUUUAGAUUUAUUCAAGUUCUGUAGUAGUUUUGUUUUCUUUUUGUCAAAACUAAACAACUAUAAACCAAAGAUAAAUAAAAUAAAAUGGAAUAUCAACGUUUUGUUUAUGUUGUUAUGGACUUCUUCCCUCGCACAACGUGGUGACUGGCGAGUAUUUGUUCUCUAUAACAUUUUCUUUGGCCUAAAUUAAAUACUGGUUCAAUUGAGUAAAUUCAAACAUGAAUGGUUCUAGUACUUAAUUUAGCAUGUACAGAGGAUUCUAUUAACUCAGAAUUGUAAAUUUCCAUUAAAAUAUGUUGUAAUUGAUUAGAAAUUGAUCAUUGAAAUAAAAAGAAAAUGGUAACAAAUUGAGGUUAACUUAAACAAAAUCCCAUUAACUGAAAUUAGGGACUUGUUUCUAACUCAAUUGAGCACAACUGGGUUACUUGUUCGACUGUCACCUACUAAAAUCAAUCAAAUUAACCAUACACAAUUGUUUAAAAGAAAUCCUAAAUACAAAACAGUAAACCCAACACAGAAAACAUACCAAUCUGGUAAAUCACUGAUUCUGUAGAUCUGUUUAAGAUUACUAGCAUUGUUCUGAACUUGGGUAGGUAAUUUAGUAGGAGCUACAAUGUCAUCCCUUUUUCAGAGUCAGUUGGAAUAUCUAUGAUUAUGGUAUUAGACUUUUCCAUAAUUGUUACUUAGCUAUACAAACAGAGAAAAACAGAGAAUUUUUUUUUUAUAUAUAUAAUUCAAGAAAAUCAAGCAUUAAUAAUUUAAUAAUUUACUAGAAUAGUUAAAAAAUUAAAAUGGAGAAAAAGGAUAUCUUACCGAUAAUAAAAAUCUGGUAAAUCACUGAUUCUGUAGAUCUGUUUGAUGAUCACCUCUUUAGAUUUCUUCAUUUUCUUUUUCAAUGGAAUAAAAAGGAUAAUUGUAGUAAUUGUUUCUUCUUCCAUUUGUUUCUCUGUAAAUCAGGGAAAGCUCUCUUCAGUCCUCACAGAAACCCUAAAGACAGCCGCGUUGAGAUCAUUUUCAGCUUAAAUAUCAAAGUUAUGGGCCUGACUAACUAAUAUUACCC
rnacentral:lncRNA from 1 species